rnacentral:lncRNA from 1 species
CAGAAAUUGAUAAGUCUUCCAAUUUUUGAAAGGGACUGAGGCAAAAAAAACCAUACAGCCUACUUUUUAUAUAGUUUUAUAUUUUCACAAAGCAGAAAGAGUAAUAACAAAUUGGAGAUUAGCACAAAUAUGAGUUGCUCAUAUGUUUGUUUUAAAUAAACACAAUACAUGUAAAACUUAUCGUCAGACUUUUCUGCGUUAGCAGUGACCUAAGGCAUCAAGGACAGAACUGCACAUCCUCAGAGAUGUUCUCCUGCUAUCGAUGAAAUUCAGUGAAAACAUUAGCAAAACUCCCACAAUCAGCAUUUUUCUCCUUGGGUCCUGCAACAUUAUCAGCUGGCCAGAAUAGACAGGAGAUAAAAGAAAAUCAUCAUAAUUACUGAUCCAAGACAAGAAAAUAACCCUUCUCCUAGGACAUUAAAAUCUUAAGGAAAAAAUAAUAAAAAAAAGGAAGUUGUGGUGUUCUGCUUUGUUUUUCUUCUUCCUUCUUUUUCUUCUUCUUCCUUCUUUUUCUUCUUCUUCUAGCUCCGCAGAAAGGGAUCUGGGGGUUGUGGUUGACAGCAAGUUGAAUAUGAGCCAGCAGUGUGCCCUGGCAGCCAGGAGGGCCACCCGCACCCUGGGGUGCAUCAGGCCCAGCACUGCCAGCCGGGCGAGGGAAGGGAUUGUCCCGCUCUGCUCUGCGCUGGGCGGCCUCACCUCCAGCACUGUGUGCGGUUUGGGUGCCACAACAUGAGAAGGACAUAAAACUGUUGGAGAGUGUCCAGAGGAGGGCGACGAAGAUGGUGAAGGGCCCAGAGGGGAAGACCUAUGAGGAGCGGCUGAGGGCACUGGGCCUGUUCAGCCUGGAGAAGAGGAGGCUGAGGGGGGACCUCAUCGCAGUCUACAACUUCCUCGUGAGGGGGAGUGGAGGGGCAGGUGACCUGUUCUCCGUUAUCACCAGUGACAGGACCCGCGGGAACGGUGUUAAGCUGAGGCAGGGGAAGUUCAGGCUGGACAUCAGGAAGAGGUUCUUCACCGAGAGGGGGGUCGCACACUGGAACAGGCUCCCCAGUGAAGCAGUCACGGCACCAAGCCUGUCUGAAUUUAAGAAGCGUUUGGACUGUGCACUUAGUCACAUGGUCUAAAUUUUGGGUAGACCUGUGCGGUGCCAGGAGUUGGACUCAAUGAUCCUUAUGGGUCCCUUCCAACUCAGGAUAUCCUAUGAUUCUAUGAUUUUUUUUCCCUCUAACUACCAGAAUAAUAUCAAAAUGUGUGAGUUUGCACUGAAGGACUGGGCACUGUUUUUACUGUUUAGCAGCUGCUUUCUCUUCUGCUUGUAAUGCCUACAAAUUAUCAAGGUAAAAACAUUGCAGAAAGUCUGCAGAUCUUACGACGUUGUAUUGUAACUCCAAAAACUUCUGUUUGAUACCCGCCUACUGUAGAGUAUCAAAGGAGAAACACCAGCAUGGAUGAGGCCACUCCUUCCAAAAACAGCGCAGGUGCGUCUUGCUCUCUUCUGAUGAGCCCAGGUUGUGAAAUAGCACAGCGCACAUGGCCAGUCCUAGACUGACCCUUCAACAACAUACACAUUAGUGUGAGGUCUGUUAACUCUCUGGGAACAUUCCUCUGAUUUCUCCUUAAUUCACACAGGCUGGAAUGAGGUAGACAUUAUUUUCUUUAAAUGUGACCUGCAUUUUCAGCUGAGCCUUGUUCAUGUUUAAAAAUGUGCAUUGUUACUUGGCAGCAGGCAUUAAAAGAUACUCCGUAAGAGUUAUGCUACCUUCCUGUCCCAACAUUAGUAAAAAACACCAACUCUAACUUUGUCCAAUGAGCACGUAUACCAAAGGAUAUAAACAGAUGCAAAAACGUCUGGCAUCUGCUCGCUCACAGAUAUGGAAAAAUGUUAUGAGCAGAGAGGAGAGAUUCUCAAGAUAUCGGCUGUCAGAUCUAGAUUAAAAGAAUUGUCUAGGAUUACUGGCAUACAGAAAGCACCUGUUUAUCCCAACGGAGAACUUCGGAGCCACUGUUCAAUACAAUAAUUUUGCCUAGGAAAAAAAAAAAAA